ACCAAUCUUAAUAAUUUUUAUGGAUGCAGAGGCCAAUUAAAUGUUUUGAAGAGCAGCUGAAAGGUGUCACACGGAUUCACUAUCCAGUAUAGUUGCAUCAUGUUCUUGGGAUAAACAUGCCGUCGUUGGCACAGGAACACCUUUCCAGAUUAUGUAGAGCAAGAAAGAAGUGGCAUCAAAUCUAGAUGUCGUAAUAGAUGUGUAUGAUUUCCUCCAUUUGGAAAUGAGAGGGUUCAAGAUGCUAAAUCCCAAGAUGUAAAUUGUUGGAACCAACCGAAUGAUUCAUCUACCAAACCACAUGUUUAGGAUAAGGACAAGAUGCAUGGUCAAUCUAAUUCUGUCUGGGUAGUCAAAACCCAAAGAGUACCCAUACAGAGAGAUCUUCAGAUAUUGGUGGUUGGAAUGAAGACAGAGGACAAGAUGAGUUGAAUCAACCAACAAGAUCUCCUGUUUGGAGUUCUUCCCCUAUUGAGAAGUCUUCAAAUGACAACAGUUGGAAAGAAAAUAGAGCACAAGCUUGAUUUCUAUCGACCGACCAAAGCUCCUGGAUGGGGUUCUUCGAGUGUGGGUGACCGAAUAAACCAGAGAAGCCGUUCUACCUAGUCACCUG